CUGCUAAUACCCGAUAUGCCGAAAGGUGAAAGAUUUAUCGCCUGAAGAUGAGCUCGCGGCUGAUUAGCUAGUUGGUGGGGUAAGAGCCUACCAAGGCGACGAUCAGUAGCUGUUCUGAGAGGAAGAUCAGCCACACUGGGACUGAGACACGGCCCAGACUCCUACGGGAGGCAGCAGUGGGGAAUUUUCCGCAAUGGGCGAAAGCCUGACGGAGCAAUACCGCGUGCGGGAGGAAGGCCCUUGGGUCGUAAACCGCUUUUCUUAGGGAAGAAACCUGACGGUACCUAAGGAAUAAGCCUCGGCUAACUCCGUGCCAGCAGCCGCGGUAAUACGGAGGAGGCAAGCGUUAUCCGGAAUUAUUGGGCGUAAAGAGUCCGUAGGUGGUUCAUCAAGUCUGCUGUUAAAGCGUGCAGCUCAACUGCAUAUAGGCAGUGGAAACUGUUGAACUAGAGUAUGGUAGGGGUAGGGGGAAUUCCCAGUGUAGCGGUGAAAUGCGUAGAGAUUGGGAAGAACACCGGUGGCGAAAGCGCCCUACUGGGCCAUA
rnacentral:rRNA from 1 species